UACAGGGGGUGCAAACGUUGCUCGGAAUCAUUGGGCGUAAAGCGCACGUAGGCGGUUCGUUAUGUCGGAUGUGAAAGCCCUUGGCUUAACCGAGGAAGUGCAUCCGAAACUGGCGAGCUAGAGUACUAAAGAGGAUCGCGGAAUUCCCGGUGUAGAGGUGAAAUGCGUAGAGAUCGGAAAGAACACCAACGGCGAAAGCACUCUGCUGGGCCGACACUGACACUGAGAGACGAAAGCUAGGGGAGCGAAUGGG
rnacentral:rRNA from 1 species